rnacentral:rRNA from 1 species
GAUGAACGCUGGCGGCGUGCCUAAUACAUGCAAGUCGAGCGAACAGACGAGGAGCUUGCUCCUCUGACGUUAGCGGCGGACGGGUGAGUAACACGUGGAUAACCUACCUAUAAGACUGGGAUAACUUCGGGAAACCGGAGCUAAUACCGGAUAAUAUAUUGAACCGCAUGGUUCAAUAGUGAAAGACGGUUUUGCUGUCACUUAUAGAUGGAUCCGCGCCGCAUUAGCUAGUUGGUAAGGUAACGGCUUACCAAGGCAACAAUGCGUAGCCGACCUGCGAGGGUGAUCGGCCACACUGGAACUGAGCCACGGUCCAGACUCCUACGGGAGGCAGCAGUAGGGAAUCUUCCGCAAUGGGCGAAAGCCUGACGGAGCAACGCCGCGUGAGUGAUGAAGGUCUUCGGAUCGUAAAACUCUGUUAUUAGGGAAGAACAAAUGUGUAAGUAACUAUGCACGUCUUGACGGUACCUAAUCAGAAAGCCACGGCUAACUACGUGCCAGCCGCCGCCGUAAAAC